UAGGGAAUCUUCGGCAAUGGACGAAAGUCUGACCGAGCAACGCCGCGUGAGUGAAGAAGGUUUUCGGAUCGUAAAACUCUGUUGUUAGAGAAGAACAAGGACGUUAGUAACUGAACGUCCCCUGACGGUAUCUAACCAGAAAGCUACGGCUAACUACGUGCCAGCAGCCGCGGUAAUACGUAGGUGGCAAGCGUUGUCCGGAUUUAUUGGGCGUAAAGCGAGCGCAGGCGGUUUCUUAAGUCUGAUGUGAAAGCCCCCGGCUCAACCGGGGAGGGUCAUUGGAAACUGGGGGACUUGAGUGCAGAAGAGGAGAGUGGAAUUCCAUGUGUAGCGGUGAAAUGCGUAGAUAUAUGGAGGAACACCAGUGGCGAAGGCGGCUCUCUGGUCUGUAACUGACGCUGAGGCUCGAAAGCGUGGGGAGCAAACAGG
rnacentral:rRNA from 1 species